AUUUAAUGAUGAUCGCAAUCUUUGGUCCGUGUUUAUGAGGUGGAUUCAAGACCCACCGCAUGAGUGACAAUGAAGAU
rnacentral:snoRNA from 1 species